GAUAAACCCAGUAGCUCUCCUCACCACCAGCUACUGGGCCCGCACCAUCCGCUCCCGGGCAGAGCUGGCGCGGGAGACCGGGACCCGGGGCUCUCCCGCGGGAGGGGCGAGGGGCGUGGAGGGCGGGGGCCGGGGGCGGGGCGAACCCCGCAGACUGGGUGCUCCGAGGAGCUGUCAGUGUCCGCCUCGGGGAGAGAGAGGAAGUGAUCGCUCCCGGAGGAGCGCGAGCCGCGCGGUCGGCGCAGCGUGAGACAGCACAUCCUGCCCGCGCCGGGCAGCGCCGCCCUCGGGAGCCGCCUGCGCGCCGCCCGGGCCGCCGCCGCCUCCGCCUGGGAGUCGCCGCGCCGCCGCCGCGGUCCAGAAGCCCAGUUCAGCAGCUGCCCAGCGGGUUCAGGAAACCAACAUGUCUGACAAAAGUGACUUAAAAGCUGAACUAGAGCGUAAAAAGCAGCGCUUAGCACAGAUAAGAGAAGAGAAGAAGCGGAAGGAAGAGGAGAGGAAGAAGAAAGAGGUAAAUAUUGGUGUUGGACUGCGGGGGGGAGGGAGAAAUCAUUUGAUUCUGAGGGGCUAGUCAA
rnacentral:lncRNA from 1 species